rnacentral:snRNA from 1 species
AUAGUCGAUUAUACUACGAACAA